AUCCUCUCACAAUUCUGGAGGCUAGCAGUCCAAGAUCAAAGUGUCAGCAGGGUCGGUUUCUUCUGAGGGCCUCUCUCCUUGGCUUGUAGGUGGCCAUCUUCUCCCUAUAUUUUCAUGUGGCCUUUCUUCUGUGUGUCUGUGUCCUGAUCUCUUCUUGUAAGGACGUCAGUCAUAUUGGAUUAGGGCCCACCCACAUGACUUCGUUGACCUUGAUUACCUUUUUUUUUUUUUCAGGGUCUGGCUCUGUUGCCCAGGCUGGAGUGCAGUAGCACGAUCUCAGCUCACUGCAACCUCUGCCACCCAGGUUCAAGCAAUUCUCCUGUCUCAGGCUCCCGAGUAGCCAGGAUUACAGGUGCCUGCCACCAUGCCCGGCUAAUUUUUGUGUUUUUAGUAGAGACGGGAUUUUGCCAUGUUGGCUAGGCUGGUCUUGAACUCCUGACCUCAGGAGAUCCGCCCACCUCAGCCUACCAAAGUGCUAGGAUUACAGGCAUGAGCCAUGACGCCUGGGCAGUUUAACAUUAAAGGCCCUAAAUUCAAAAACACAGUCACUUUCUGAGGUACUGGAGAUUAGGCUUUCAACAUGUGAAUUUGUAGUGGGAGACACAGUUCAGCCCAUACCAAGCUGUAAGGUCUGGAAGUUCCCCACUGGCCAACUGAGGGAUACGCAUUACAAUGGCAAUGGCGAGCCUGUCCUUAGCACAUGCUACCCGCUGGGUUCCGUGGAGAGUGCUUGACAUGUAUUAGCCCAUUUAACAUUCACAAGCACCCUAUGAAGUAGGUAUGAUUAUCAUCAGCACCUCUUUUUCCAGAGGAGGAAACAGAGGCACCAAGAGACACUGCCCAAAGUCACAAAGAUAAUAAGUGGCAGAACCCAUGAGCUCGGCUUCUACGCAGUGAAUUUCAUCAGCGAUUUCUAGUUUGCUCCACCCUCAACAGAUACCUGAGAAGUAAUGAUGUUGCUGAAUAUUCAAAGGAACAGAUGCGUUUCCCAUCAGCUGCCACUGACUGCAGGCUCUCUCUAAGGUUAGCCUUUAACAUGAGAAGAGUGAGGAGAAAGAAACACACACAGGUACACACAGAGAUGCGCGCGCCCGCACACACACACACCUUCAAACAUGGAUACACGG
rnacentral:lncRNA from 1 species